rnacentral:tRNA from 1 species
CGAAUAGAAGCCCGCUGGUUUGGGUAGUUAACUGUUAAUUAAUUUGUCGUGGGAUCGAAGCCCGCCUAUUCAG